rnacentral:rRNA from 1 species
UAGUCCACGCCGUAAACGAUGGAUACUAGCUGUGUGGUUUUCGGACUGCGCGGCCAAGCGAAAGUGAUAAGUAUCCCACCUGGGGAGUACGUUCGCAAGAAUGAAACUCAAAGGAAUUGACGGGGGCCCGCACAAGCGGUGGAGCAUGUGGUUUAAUUCGAUGAUACGCGAGGAACCUUACCAGGGCUUAAAUGUAGAUUGACAGGUUUAGAGAUAGACUUUUCUUCGGACAAUUUACAAGGUGCUGCAUGGUUGUCGUCAGCUCGUGCCGUGAGGUGUCAGGUUAAGUCCUAUAACGAGCGCAACCCCUGCCGUUAGUUGCCAGCAUGUAAAGAUGGGGACUCUAACGGGACUGCCGGUGCAAACCGUGAGGAAGGUGGGGAUGACGUCAAAUCAUCACGGGCCCUUACGUCCUGGGGCCACACACGUGCUACAAUGGCCGGUACAGAGAGCAGCCACUUAGCGAUAAGGANCGAAUCUAUAAAGCCGGUCACAGUUCGGAUCGGAGUCUGC